UACGGGGGGAGCAAGCGUUGUUCGGAAUCACUGGGCGUAAAGGGAGUCUAGGCGGUUUGGUAAGUGGGAUGUGAAAUCCCUCGGCUCAACCAAGGAAGUGCUUUCGAAACUGCUGAGCUUGAGUACUUAAGAGGAUCGCGGAAUUCCCGGUGUAGAGGUGAAAUUCGUAGAUAUCGGGAGGAACACCAGUGGCGAAGGCGGCGAUCUGGGAAGAUACUGACGCUGAGGUGCGAAAGCGUGGGGAGCAAACAGG
rnacentral:rRNA from 1 species